rnacentral:misc_RNA from 1 species
CAAAUCCAAUCAUUGCAUAGACUAUAAGGCCAUAUACCACAGCUUGAAAGAAAAUAUAUGGGAGCUCAAUCACAACCUGCGCAAAGGCAUAGGGCAAAGGGGAAUACAUUCCAGCAGCUCUUUCUCUGUAGAAGACAGUUCUUUCAACAGAAACUACUGGUUGCACAGAUGAAGCAUUUUGGAUUCCAAGGAAGACAAUUGCAGCAUACAUUGAUCCCAUUGCAUUGAAAAGAUCUUGACGCUUUGUCGUUUUGGAGCCAAGGUCCCAGAACAUUGUUCCAAACAUCAAAGCUAUGACGGUUGUGAAGAGAAAUCUCACAGCAGUAUAUGGUGGAUUGCGCCAGUACGACAAGUGUUGCUUCCAUAAGCAAGCCAUGCAUUGUACCAGAAAUGACUGGGAGUACUGUGUGGGAAAGUACAUGUCCUUUGAACCAGGAGCAGGCGUGCUUAAUUCCUCAAUAAGUGCUUUGUUUCUCCUAUAUUGUUCUGAAUUUCUAUAUGCAACUGCAAAAUCUAUCCCCAGAACUGUUUCUUGAGCUGAAGUAGUAACUUCCAACAUCCAAGUUGCU